GGCCUAUAUGCAUGUUUCUGACAUGUGGCAGUGUACGUUUAUCAAAGAGGCAGAGGUCAAUUCUAGUGUACGUCGUGUACUGGUGAAUAAAACGUGUGGUCCCUUGUGCCAGGGUACAGGUUUCGCCAUACAUCGUAAUAAUCGUGAGAGUGUAGUAGAUGUGCUAAAUGGUGGCCUAACGAGGCCGACGCAUGUUUGGGGGGGUCGGUUAUGCACCCUCUGUAUGUCCAUAAGCGGGUCCGGGGUACAGUUAAAAUCACAGCAAAUAAUAGUG